AAGGAUCCUAACUUGAAAUCCGUGGCAUGAAAAGGGCAUGUAAUUAAGAGUGGAGAACAUAAUUUCUAAUGUUUGAGUCUGAUGUCAACAAAACAUCUAAAAUCGAAAACUGAAAGUUUUUGGAUAAUCUUAUAUUUUUGGCAGAAAACAAUGAUAGUGUAAAUUGGGCUGAUAAAGCUAUUAGAUAUUCCUUUCAGAAAAAGAAAAGGAAAAAAAACUACUCCCUCCGUCCCUUAAUAAAUGACCUAGUUGACAGUAUGCAUUAUUGACUUGAUAUAUUUUGACCAUACUUUUCUACUAAUUCACAAAGAUAAAUAAUAUCAUGUAAGAUGUUGUUGGAUUCGUCUCGAUGAGUAUUUUUAAAAUAUUAAAUUUUUAUAAUUUUUUUUAGUAGAGAAUUGAAGAUAUCAAAGAUAAAACAUAUGCAUUGGUAUGUGUGUCAGAGUCAACUAGGUCAUUUAUUUAGGGACGUAGGGAGUAUUAGAUAUUAUUAUUAAAGAAAGCUAUUAGACAUUGAGACGUUCUGAUUUGGAUUUCUUGUGAAUGUGGAAAGUCGCGAAUUCUCAAAACGAAUGCACAUGGUAUUUUUAUUUGAGCAAUAUAAUGAUAGAACUUUCUUUAUUUCUUUAACAUGAUGAUUAAUUUGGCAUGGAGUAUCAUGUAAAUAAUUAGAUGACGGAUUGAAAAAGGGUAAUUUAUGUCGUGCGGGAAAAUUAAAUUUCUUUUCUUCAAGUGAAGCAAUUUUGUCUGAUUUUACUUAGUUACAUUUUCGGUUGAAUCCCUGAUUAACAAGACCUUCCCCACACCAACAAAACAAAAUGAAAGAAAAAGGCACGAUGUGAUUUCAACAUGGUAAAUUACAUGUUGAUUCGAGAAAACCACCUGAAGGGCACUGUUAAGUAUGAACAAAACAAAUGUUCUUCCAAAUUUUAAAAAAUUUCUUUUGCGAGCGUGUAGUAUAGCAUUCUGACCAUAGUAACCAAGUCUUUACUGCGUGCAUUGUUUGCAUAUGGCUGCUUUGAGAGGAGUAUGUGAUGCUGCAGUAAGGUUCAACUUUGGAACUUUAUUGAACAAUAGCGUAUUCCUUUCGCAACCGGUUUGAACUUUAUUCAAUACAUGAUCAACAAGAAUGAAAAGUAGAAAUCAAAUGGUUUGAAAUGCAGCUAAUUUUUGCUUUGACAAUGUCAUACUUGAAUGAAAAGAUUGUUUAGUGUUUGUCAUGAGAUUAAUAUUUCUGGGUAUAAAGAUUCGUAUACAUGAAAUAACUUUGACAUUAUCAAGAAAAAUGACGAUUCCCAUGAUAAGGAAAUGAACUAGUAUGUAUUUUCAAGCUUCAUUAAUACACUUGGUGAUACAAAAUAUUGACAAACGUUUUCCACAAGUGCACAAACAGAAUUUCUAAAAUUAUCUUAUUGACGAAAGCAGAGUUUCUAUAAACAUUUUUGAGAAGUUAUUCAUAAAAACAAUUAACAACAUAAAACAAAAGCGUCUCUAAGACGUAGUUUCAUAGAUUCAAUCAACACUUCGUAUAGUGGAGACUGAAUUGAUUAAUAGAGAGAAACAUGGCUUCAUCAAUUAUAUCCUGUAAAUAUGCAAGAGCAAAAGUGUGGGCACACGCAUGUGUUUGGUUUAGUGGUGGCAACUGCAGCAGAGUUUAGGCCUUAUGCACAGCCAUGAUUUUGGUGUUUUUCAAACACUCAAGUAAAGAUCUGGAUAUGUAGUAUGUCUAGCUUAAUUUAGAAGCAAGGAAUUUCAUAAUUGGAAUAUAAAAUAACAAUAGUAUUUCUCAACAAAGUGCAUUUCCAUACCAAAAUGGCAGCAAAAUAUAAACCCAAUACAAAAUUGUACUUGUACAGCUGAAAUUUAGGAUAAAACUUAUGCUAUAAAAUUAAAAUACUCGACCUCUGGAUACUUGAUUUACUUCUUGGAUUUCUUUGAUGGUCUGCACCAAAAACACACAUUUAGACCACAAAAUAACACAAAAAACUAAACCAAGUAACAAAAGUGUUUAGAUGCUUACUGGGCCUGGGUUGCUGUUGCAGCUGAUGCGGCUGGUGCUGCAGCUGCAGGAACCUUCUCUCCUGGACCCUACACAUUUUAAAAGGCAGGGUGAUAUGGUCAAUUUUAGAGUGACAAAUUUAGUCUAAAUGCAGUGAUAAAAUAAUACCAAUUCACUUCAUAUAUUAUCAAGACAUUAUGGAACUCACUUGAGCAAAGCGCUCUUCUCUCCGGGCAUGCUUCCUUUCCCUGCUAGCCUUAUUCUUCGCCCUCUUGGCCUCAAACUGAUCAGAUAAUGUCUUCUCCCUAGCCUUCUCAGCCUUGGAUUUGUGAAUACUCUCCAUAAGGACUCUCUUGUUCUUGAAGACAUUUCCCUUCACCUUCAUGUACAUAUCAUGAUACAUAUGUUUGUCAAUCUUCUUUGCCUCUCGGUACUUGCGAAGCAAACGCCUGAGGACACGCAUUCUCCUCAUCCAAAGGAUUUUGGUGGGGAGCCUAGCCUCUCUUGUACCCUUUCUCUUUCCUGGUCAUCAUCAAUAAGCGGAAAUUAUAAUCAGAGAAUAACAAUGAUGCCUAUCCUGCUAAUGCGGGUACUAUAGAAAUACUUGUGUGAUGGUACAAACAGUAAUAGAUCACAUGCAUAUGCAGAAUGUAUAUAACUUGCUUAACAUUCUGCACAACUGAUUAACUAAUCUUGCAAACUAUAUAGUGCUAGUAACCAUAGUAAUACUCGUGUGAUGGUGCAAACUGCAAACAGCAAUAUGUUACAUACAUUUUCAGAAUGCAUAUAACUUUCAUAUCCUAGAAUACUCUGCACAACUAAUUAACUAAUUCUAUUCUAUAAUGUUUAAAUGACGAUGACUUCACAAGCAGACAAGCACUACCUAACAAACUAACAGAGAUUUGUCAACAUCUUUAUCCUUCAAUUCAUUAAAACUAUCAAGGUUUAAAAUAGUUAACUACCAUAUCCAGAAUGACGUCCCUUCCUCUUGGCCUCCUUCAUGCGCCUAGCACGGGAGCGGGAGUGAAUCUUAGUUGGCUUCCUGAUAAUGAAGCCAUCCUUAACCAACUUCCUGAUGUUUUGGCCUGCAAAGAGAAACCAGUCAGACCAUUUAAAUAAAUUGAACAAAUAACAUACAGUAUCACAGACUCCCACCACAUAUGAUAAAAAAAAUAUACAUCAGAUGCAUACCAAUCAGCAAUUAACACAAUAAAAAUCUCAACAAUGAAAAUUUCAUUACAAAAAUGAGUUAAGGGAAUAGUUUUCACCGACAACAAAAAUGAGAACCCACAAGUAAAUUGGGCAUUUUGAUCUCCACUAAGUUCAUAUUAGGAUACAAUAAAAAACAACAAUGAAAUCCAAUAAAAGCCCCAAUUUUUUCAUUUAAAAAGCUGAAUUGAGCAUCCCAAAUCAUAAAGGCAGAUAAAUAAGAGAAUGAAACACAAACUAUAUAUCUAUAUCCUUAAAAACUAGCUUCUGAAAUUAAAUAUUUUAUAAGUUAAAAUCCAAAGCAACUAAAUCCAUAUCCACUCUUAAAUCUUAAAGAAGUCACAAUAUUUCAAUGUUUUUUUGAGGGAUUUUUUCUACCCUAGUUUUUCUUUUUCCUACAAGUUCUGCUAUUGAACACCGCAACACAAGACACCUUACAUUUCCGAACAAAAAAACAUAGUACAAAAAUAAAAUAAAAAUAAAACAUUUCAUGACCAACACAAACAGUUCAAAACAUGUUCAAAACUGAUUAACAUAAAUCAAAUCAAAACCCAGAAACAUUAGAGAGAGAGAGAGAGAGAGAGUUACGUGAAUUAGCCAUGGAGAUUUCAUUGCACUCAUUAGGGUCAAGCCAGACCUUGCCACGACCACACUUGAGUACGCUGGCGGCGAGCCGCUUCUGAAGUUUGAGCGACACCAUCUCUCUCUCUCCCUCAAACUCUCUCUGGUUUGAUAACCUGGCGGUGGAAGGAGGCUAUAUAUAUCUCCUAUCUCUCACUAACCCUAGGUUUUGCACCAGUUUUUUUUUUUUUUUUUGUGCGUAUUGGGCAAGUAAAUUUGACUUUCUCUGAGCCUGUUUUGGGUCAAAUUACUCAUGGGCCUUUUUUGUCAACAAACUCUUGGGCCUCAUUCUGUCAGAUUUGUUUCGUUUAUUUUGAAAAUUACUCUUCUCACUUCCAAAAUGUCUUUCGGAAACAUAAGAGAAACAGACUGAACCAUAAGAGAAACGUUAAUUACACAAAUAUCACUUAGUCCAAUACUCAUAGAAAUUCGAUGAACGUUUGUAGAAUGACAUCAUUUUUCUCUUUGUUAAGUUUCUUUUUUGCUUUUUAUUUAACAUAGAUUCUACCACCGUAAAAUUCCUCCUAUUUUGGUCCUUCAACAACUCGCUCAUACUGCCGUGGUAGAGAAUCUUGUCAUGUUGAUCUUUUUAUAACGUGAGAAUUUUUUUUGUUAACUUUAAUUAAAGAGCUGAAGUAGAUAAAAAAUAUGGUUUUUUCAUGUAGUCAUAAAGUCAAGAAAAAUGAUCUAGAAGUUAAAUUUCUUUUUUAUAAUUUUUUGCAAACAUAAUUAGAACUUUCCAACCAUGGACGUGGUAAUUAUGAAUUUUUAAAGUGUCAAAAAUCAAAACAAAAAAAUAAUGAGCUGAUUUUUUUUUUAAGAGAAUUCUUCAAAAACACAUAAAAAUGAUUUGUAAAGUUUUAUAACAUUACUAAUACGCCUCAAUUUAUUUUAAUUUUUCAACCAACAUGUGAAAAAUCACAAUUUUGUUUCGAGUUAGCAUAAAAUCACGGGUCAAAUCUGGUUCCCCUAUUUUGUAGGCAUGUUCACUAGAACCCCCACCACAAAAUUUUGAACUUUAUUUUAAACAUACCUGCAAAAUUGGGGAACUAAAUAUCCGGUGAGUAUAUACUUACUUUUAACAAAAUUGUAAAAAAUCAAAAUAUAUUGAGGUGUCUCGAAAAGGCUAUAAAACUAUGUAGAACAUUUCUACGUACUUUUAUUGUGGGACACUUUUUUUUAAUGUCUUAAAUUUUUUUUGCAACAAAAUCAUUAAAAAAUUCAAUCUCUAAUCAUUUUUCUUAACUCUAUGUCUAUUACGAAAAAAGUUUCACUUUUUUAUUUCAUUCUUAAUUAAUGUUAGUAAAAAAAAUAAAGCAAAACAACUCUGAUGUCAUAAAAAAAGAAGUAAGAUUUCCUAACACAUUAGUGUGUGUUAUUUUUUACAAGAAUCAUUUUCAUGAAGAAUGUUUGAACCACACAUUUUCAACACACUUUAUUUAAUUGAUUAAAAUUCAUUUGAUCCCACCAAAUAACGUGGAUCUCAUGUAUAUUUGAACAAAUAAAAAAAGUGUAUUGAAAAAUACAUGUUGAAAUGUUUGUUGUCCGUCUUUCUCUUAUUAUUUUCAUACUUUGUGCAUAUUACGGACACUAUUUCAAGUUUCAACAAUUAGCUUAAAAAUGUGUUCUAAUGUGUAUUGGUUGGGGUAAAUUACCCACAAUUAUUCCAUAGAUAUCCUGAUUGUGAAGCAUUAUUAUUUGCUAACCAACAACGCAAGCUAAGACUUCUAGAGUUUAGUCAGCAAAGCAAAAGUAAAAGGCAAUGCAAACUAUAUUUUUGGCGGCGUAGGGGUAAAUCCAGGAAGGUUCAUGUCACUGCUGUCACGCAUUCUCCUUUAAACCCUCCCAUUUUUUUACAACUACAAAUACCCUCCAAAUCUAUCCACAUCUUUGUGUCAUUCUCACUCAAACACAAGAAAAACAAAAUUCACAACACAACAAUUUUUCUUCCUCAAUAAUAACCCACUCAACCUCUCAUAUCAAUCAUAAUACUCUAUUCUUUCAUUGCCUUUUCAUAACACCAUUUCACCCUCCAAAACCUCUCCUUGGCUAGCUGAUACAUCAAGCAAUACUCAUCAUCAUCAAAGAAUGUGUGGUGGUGCUAUCAUCGCUGACUUCAUUCCUCGCCGUGACGGCCGCCGUCUCACCGCCUCGGAGCUCUGGCCUAACUCAUUUGGCCAACAGAUUGACUCCUCAAACUUCGGUUUUUCUCAUACUGCUGCUGAUCAACAACCACCCAGCACUCUCAAAAGAUCACAGCCUCCCAAAGGUGAGUUACUAUUUUCUUUUUCUAGUCCUAAUACCCUUUUCAUUUUUCUUAACUCAUAUCUAGUUCAAGCACCGACUAGUAAGUUGUUUUGUAUUUGUUAGAGAUUUUUCUUAUUUGGGUUUUUCAUUUGAACAGUUAAUGAACGAGUUGAGAAGCCACUGAAAAAACAGAGGAAGAAUCUCUAUAGAGGAAUUCGACAGCGUCCAUGGGGAAAAUGGGCUGCAGAGAUUCGUGAUCCAAGAAAAGGAGUUCGUGUUUGGCUUGGUACAUUCAACACUGCUGAAGAAGCUGCUAGAGCUUACGACAAAGAAGCUCGAAAAAUCCGUGGCAAAAAAGCUAAGGUUAAUUUUCCUAACGAAGAUGAUGAAUAUACCAUUCAUGCUACUCGUCGCUACAAUAAUAAUCCUCCACCGAUUCGACCACAGAAGCUUCCUCUAUAUCAUCAACAACACUAUCAGAAGAAUCUGAACUUGGAAUUUGGUUAUGAUCUGAACCAAACUGACACAAUUCAUGCUAUCAAUACUGGUUCUGGUGGUGAUGAGAAUUCUUUAUUUGGGUCUGGUUCAGUUUCAGAGGUUGGUUUUUCUGUGAUGGAGUUCAAUGGUGGUUCCAAUCAGAAUGAAUUCGGUUAUUUUGGUGGUGUUGUGAAUGAACAUGAAAAAGAGAAAGAGAAAGUGGUAGAACAAGAAACACAUGUUGUUGAACAAGCUGAAGCUGAAUUAGCAAAAAAUGAGGUACAAGAAUUGUCUGAUGAAUUGUUGGCAUACGAGGAUUACAUGAAGUUUUAUCAGAUUUACUAUGAUGGACAAUCAGUGAUGCCACCUAAUAAUGUUCAGGAACAUGUGGUUGGAGAUUUAUGGAGCUUUGAUUGAUGGUAACAAUAACUGUUUUUCAUGCUUCGGUUUCUUCUGUGAAGCUUCUGUGAAGACAGAAUUUUUCCCAUUCUUAUUAUUCGGUUAUCUCUAUUUUGCAUUUAGUAUGGAUGGAAUUGUAAAUUUGGCUACUUUGAAUUUCGAUUCUCUAGUUUAUCUAUUUUUGAGUUAAUUAGUAGGGUUAUGUCAAGUUUUGUUCAAUUGUAAUUUUUUGGUGUUUAACCAAAUGAAAUUAACAAUGUUUCAAUUCCAAUACAAAUUUUGUUGAUUAUGUUUUCGUUUCAACAUCGGAUUAUGGCUGCGUUUAACAUCGGAUUUUAACUCAUCAACUGAGAAUACUUUUUUAAUUUUAAUUUUUUUUUUUUUUUUUUAUCAAUUACUUUUAAACUAAAUUAAAGUGUAAUCAAACUGCGUUCUAUCUUCCUUUUUUUUGAAGACAGAGACUGUGUUGGUGUUUUUUAUUUUAUGCGUGUUGGUAUUUCAAUUUUCAACCAUUUAGCAUAAGGAACUAGCCUCUCACAUUUAGCAACUGAUACUCCUCAAAUAGGAGUUUAGCAUAAGAGAUUAGUCUCACAUAUUAGGUACCUGCAGACAAUAUUUACGUAGGAUUGCCUUCAAACUUCAAAAUAUGAACUAUAAAACCAAAUUAUGCUUAGCAAGAACCCCUUGUUGCAUAUCUUGAAAAAUGAAUGAAAUUUGUGUUUUUUAUUAUUUAUCAAGUCAAAUUCUUUUUUCUUUUUUUCAUAAAUCGUUUUGCAUAGUGUUCUUGUCAAAUAAGUUUUUCUUAAGUUUGUCUAAAACAAAUUCUUAGGUGUGAUGAAACAGGGUAAGGGCAUAAUUUUUUUCUUAUUAAAUUGUCUAAUAAUUAAAAAUUCACUUGUUAAGUGAAAAAUUUUAGAGUUCAAAGCCAACCCCGAUAUAGUACAAUGUUUCUGAUAAUUGAGUUAUGAAUUCUAUUAUUUUUUCAUAUUACACUUGCGCGACAUGAUAUCAUAUGACAUUAGACAAUUUAAGUGUAACACGUUACAAUACCAUUAUUUUAAACAUAAAAAUAUGUGAAAUAAGGAGAAAGAAAAUAAUUAAAUUGAUUUAUGUGUUAAUGUUAAUGACAUUCUCGUGAAGCAUUUUCUUCUAUGUAUUAGUUAAAAAGAAGGUUUUUCCCUGAAAAUAAUAAUUAUUAUCAUUGGCUAUAAAGUGGUUAACGUAACUGCCAUUGAAUGGGGAAAUGAUAGAUAGGGAUGUGAUGCAAAAUGGGAAUAUGGUUAAAAAAGAAGUAAUAAUAAUUGAAAAAGGCAAAGGAAGAAUCCAAUCCAGUGGCGCACGCAGCUGGUUUUGUGUUAUAAAGUUGGCGGAUUUGAAGUUUCUCUUUCUUAGGAAAACAACCGACGCCGUACUCAGUGGGCGCCUACGGGUUCAAAAUACUUGUUCUAACUCACGGACCAGAUGAUAGUUAGGCACUGUCUCAUCCUACCACCAACUCACGGACCACGUGACACAUUCAACAAAAUUAAUUAAUUAAAUAAGUUCAUGCAAAAACAAAUUUGAGAAAAUAACCUUUCAAAAACAUAAAUUUAGAAUAUUUAGGACACAUAUUAAGGGUUACAUUAAGAGUAAAUAUUUAUCAAACCAAAUUAAUCUUUAAUCUUUUUUAAAAUAAUUGACACAUUUUCAAUGUCUAAUUUCUAUUUUUAGCACUAUAACAUAUGUUUAAAGAUAGAUGUUAAUAUUUCUCUUUUUUAUUAAUUAAAGGGAUAUUAGUGACGCUUGUAAUUGUCUCCUAAUGAAUUUGAAUUUAAAGGGUCAUUAUUUUAAACAAAGAACUACAUUUUUUAUUUAUUCAAUUAAUGAUGUAUAUGAUCUUUAUUAUAGACCACAUACUUCAUUUAAUAAAUGAAUCUAAAAUAUUGAUUUUUGUUUAUACUCCCUCCGUCCCUAAUUAUAAGACCCUUUUGCUAAAAUCACGGGAAUUAAGAAAGCGGAUAUUUGUAUUAAAGUUGUUUGUAAUCACUAUUGUUUUUACAAUUUUAUCCUUAAGAGAGAGAGUUAGUUUAUGUUUUUCAUAUGUUACUUAUUGCUGAUUGAAGAAAAAGAUGUAUAAUAAAUAGGGGCGUGUAUGUAAAGAAAUAAUUAAUGUAGUUGGAAAUAACAAAGGGAUCUUAUAAAAAGGGACAAAAAAAAUUCUCAAAAGGGUCUUAUAAUUAGGGACGGAGGGAGUAAUAGUGAUCAGAUGGUGUACAUAUUUUGAACAGAUAUAAUGUAGUUAAUGUCUUAAAUUCGUGUCUAAAUUUUACUAAAUUGUUGUUCUUUAUUUAUAUGUGUAUUUAAUUUGGUUUUCUAUAUUCUAAUAUAAAUUAAUAGUAUUAAUUAGAGAUACAUAUAUACGGAAAAAAUAAUAAAUGCAAAUAAUAAUUUAUAUACGGAUUUAUAUUUAAAGACUGUACUUUUUUUUAAAUGAGAUUUAUAAUUAAGGACGGAGUGGAUACGACUUACCAUACUUGGCCAUUCUUCCUAAACCAACAAAAAUAAUAAAAUCUUUCUAGAGUUUAGAAUAAGUAAAAUAAGUAGUGUGAUCCUUUAAUUAUUUUUUUUUUAGGAAAUGUGAUUCUUUAAAUUAUUGUUUUGUAAUAAAUUAUUCCUUUAAUUUUAUUAUGCAACAAAUUAACUUUUUCGUAUAAUCACUUUUUAAGUGACUUAGAUGGAAAGAGGGUCAAGGUGACAAUAUUUUAUGAAUAAACAUCAAUUUGCAGAAGGAAAAAAACUAUCUUGUUACAAAAACACUUGUUUUUUUAAUACCGUUUUUAAAAUAGUGUCUAAAAUGAGAAAAUUACACUUUUAGUCAUUUAAUUUAAUUUCAGAUAACAAUUUAAUCCUUUAUAUUUUAGGUCCAUUUUCAUAUAAAUUUUUAAGCCUCAAAUCUAAUAUUCUUAUGCAAACAUAGAUGAAAACCAUAGAUUAGAAUAUUGAAAAGCCAUAAAAAAAUGAACCCAGUAAUUUGAAGUAUGAAAAUUCAUAUGUAAAUGGUCCAAAAAGACAAAAUUAAAAUAAAAAAGAUAAAAGAUCAAAUCGUUAAUUAAAAUUAAAUUAAAUUAUUAAAAAUUCAAUUUUACCAAUCUAGAAUUGAAGGAAAUUAAUGUAGAGACUAACGAACUUAAUAAGUCAUAAUUUUAUAAAAACUCAACAUAUUUAAUUAUUAAAAAAACAACUUGUUAUUUUUGUAAUAACUUAGUCAAUAUUGACAUGUCACGAUUAAUUGGUGUGUCACCAACAGUAAAACUCAAGAAUAAUAUAUAUAUUUUUGUUGAGAAAUCUCAAGAAAAAUAUGUAAUUUGUUAAUUAGGCAAGUUGAUGGGUUGACCCAAAAAAAUUAAUAUAUAAAUUAGAAAGAAAAAAACUAAUAAUAUUAAGGGUUAAAUAAUGUUUAUACUCGGUUAUUUGAACGAUUUUUUGUUUAUCCUCUUGUAAAAUCUUAUUUUUAGAUUCUCCCUUAUCAUAUAAAAAUUCUUUAAUUUUAGCCCCUCGUGGCAUCUAACUAGGCAAAAACGCAAAACUAACACGUUUGACUAUGUAAUUGAUUUUAGUUUUUAAAAUUUAUUUUUGGUUAAGUUUUUUUUAAUAAUUAAAUAAAAUGUCAUUAUUUUUAAAAGAAAUUUAAAGAUUAAAAAUAAUCUUCAUCUUCAUAACUUAAAAGUAUCUUCAUCAUCAAAUUCAACCAACCCCAAAACAAAUCAUCAUCUACACUCUCAUCAUCCACUCUCUCUAUAAAAAAAAAUAAAAAAAAUCAACAAACAAGGCUUCAACCAACAUCAUGUAUUCAUAUUAGAGUAAAUAGUCGAUUAUCCUCCUGAAAUUGUAAGUUUCAUCAAUUACCCCUCAGAAAUUAACAAAACUUCAAUUACCCCCCUGAAAUUGCACAACGUUGACCAAUUUACCCCCUCCGUCAAAUUUUUAUGUUAGUUAACAUGACGUUUUGCAAAUACCCCCCUGAAGUUUUGUACUUAUGUGCAAAAUGCCUCAUGAACUUGAAAAUUUAUAUAUUUUUUUUCUUAUCCUUAAAAGUGACUGCAUUAUCACUGAAUUGUGGAGCAUAUUAGCUAAGUUUUGACGGUAUACAACCAUAUAUGUUCCUUUAAACGAUCAAACAUUAACCAUGUAUUAGAGUCCAACGAUAUGAAAGUCAGCAUAGUAAAGUACAACCACACUUGUCAGAUGGAAAACUAAUACAUGUCAUACAUAAUGAAGCACAUAAAUAAUACAUGAUUGACAUAAUUAAGAAUUACCAAGAUGUCAUAGUAUAUGGCUUUGCUAUUACUAAUUUUAACCACACCAAAAAUUUCCACUUCCUUUAUAAUGAAAUUUCAACACACUUCUCUCACUUUCAAGAAAAAAUAUAUAAACUUCUUACUUCUCUCACUUGAUUCUGAUUUCAACAAGUUAUACCUCAAAAAACAUAAAAAGAAAGACCGUUUGGAGAAAUAAAUUCUUCAACUAAUUCCAAAUGGAGACUUCAUGCUAGUACCUUAGGGAGAAGACAUUGUGAAGAACGUCAAAACAGAAACUAGCAUGCCUGAUUUGGUGAAGGUACAACUAGUCACAUGUUUGCAUGGACUACAAUAAACUUCACUAGAAUCGACCUUUCUGCAAAAGUUGUAGGAAGAAAUUUCUCAAGAAAGUGGAGGCUUUAGAAAAAAAACUGUAAAAUCCCUUGGUUUUAAUUUUUAAUAGGACAAGGAAUCAAAGAAAAUUCGGACAAGCGCAAAGCAUUCAUGGAAAGCCCAACACCAUACUCUAAUAAAUCAAUUUAAACCCUUAAUUAAUGUGAUGUUGACAACGCUCUAGCGAUUUGUCUCAUAUUAGCUCAACACGCUUUGCCCUUAUUUAAGUUACUAAUUAAGAAAAUAGGUUAAAUUAGAAUGGAAAGAUGAAUGUGAAGUUGCACUCACUCAUCUCAAGAAAGCAUUGUUCCAACCACCAACAUUUUCUCAACCAGAGGAAGGGGAGAUUUCAUAUUUGUAUUUGUCUGUAGCUUUUGAAUUCGUAAGUGUUGCUCUCAUAAGAGAAACAAAAGAGGACAAAAAAACUAGUGUGUACUUCAUGAGAAAAGCAUUACAAAAGCUUGAAAUACAUUACCAGAUUAUUGAAAAGGUCGCCUCGUAUUGGAGGCUAGGAGACUUCGAAGUAACUUCCUAGCACAUACAAUCAUAGUGUGAAUAGACCAACUGAUAAGGAAAAUCCUUUUUCGAUGAGAUGUGAUAAGCCAAAUGAUGAAAUAGUUCUUGAAGUUAUUUGAGCUUUACAUCAAGUUUGAAGCUAAGAAGGCACUAACAAUGCAUAUGCUUAUAGAUUUCGUAGCACAAAUGAACACUUCUCCCGAAGAGAAGACAUACAAAUUGAUCAUCUUAAUCGAUGGAUCAUACAACUCCAAAGGAAAUGGCGUAGGGAUAAUUAUAGAAAAUGAGUAAAGACUCAUCGUUGAAGUAUUCUUAGGGUUGUUCUUUACCACGACCAAUAAUCAAGCUGAUUAACACGAAGCUUUCAUGGACAAUCUAAAUGAAGACAAGAAAGCAAAGGAAAUAAAAAUAUGCAUAAAUUCCCAAGUCUAAAGAGAGUUUCAGGUAAGAGAUAAACACCUAUUAGAAUACCUUGAUGUAGUUAAUGAAAAAAUGAAAAAAUUUGACUACCUCUAAGUGCAACAUGUUCCCCACGAACACAAUACACGAGCAAACAUCCUUUCAAAGUUGCAAGUACCAAGACGAAAAGAGGAAUCAUAUUUGUGAAAGCAAAGUUAAUUAAAAAUUCAAAUGAGAAAAAAAAAAUAUUCACAUUAAAAAUGUCCUCUUUUACAACAAUUUGAAACUGGAAACAUAAAAAAACAUAAGACAGAAAAAAUAUAAGCCCUCGAAAAAGAAUAAAACUCAUAUUGAACACAUAAAUGAGAAAGAAUGAGAGAAGUAAAAAAUGUCAAUAAAAAUGGUAAGAACUAAGAAAAUAAAUAAAUAAAAAACAAAAGGAAGUAGAAAAGAGAAGAUAUAAGUAAACCUUUAUAAUAUCAGAGUUAGAUGGUCAAACAUGCCAAUUGCCAACUAUGUGGAAAAGACAUAUGGUAGGGGGUUAAUGGUAAGGUGGCUCGCAAUGAGUUUGUUUUUUGAGUUAUUAAUGUGUAGGAAGUCUUAUGAGUGAGUGUUGUUAUUGUUGAAAAAAUGUUUAACAUGAUUCUUGUGUUGUCCUGUUCAUCUCUACAAAGGUGUUUGAUUUGAUCAUGCUUUUCCUUUUUGAUUGGUUUCUAUAUUUGUUCACUAUUUGAGUAGCUUGUAUGUUAUGUUGUGUGGUAAUUGUGAAUCUAUAUGAUUUUUUUUUUUUGCUUAGGAUAUGGUAGGAUUGAUUUUAUUCUCAGGGAAUAUAACAAUAUAAGAGGAUGUCCUUCCUUUAAUUCCUCUGUUCAGAAAGUAGCAACACUUAAAUCAAUAGGAUUUUGUUGGCUGCUUCAUCUUUAGUAAAGGAAAAUUCUGCUCCAUCUUAUAUCUCAUUAUUUCAGUGAUUGUUGGAUUUGGUACAAUUAUUUAUACCUCAAAUUUACUUUUAUUUUGUUUUUGUUCUCACAUUCCUUCUAAAUACUUGUAGCUAGAAGACUUUUGUUGUUUCCAAGGAAGCUAUGAAAAAUGGUGUUGCAAGCCAAGCAGAUUUUUGUUGCAUUAGCUUUGCUUAGAUCCCUCAUGGCUAAUGUUUUUUUUUAUUUUAUUUUAAUUUUUGGUGGAAAAAGUGAUUGUUACUAGGUUUAGUUAGGAUAUCUUAUUUCAUUGAUCUAAAUUUUGAUCAAAAUGUAGUAUUUUGAUUUGCUUGGAUCAUGUAAAAACACUUAUGUAAUCUCUAGAUUCAAUGUGGUGGAUUGAGUAAAAAAACUCCUAUAGAUAAUCCACUUUUUUCUAAUCUAUUUCAAUUAGUAACAUUUUUUUGAUAGAUUCACAAUUUUUUAGUCUGGACAAUUUUGCGACACUUUUUUACAACUUCUCAAAAAUUAGGGUUAAAUAUGUUUUUGGUCCCUAUAAAUAUACCAACUUUUCGUUUAGUCCUUCUAAAAUUUUCCUUCAACUUUUAGUCCCUAUAAAAUUUUCAAUCACUACUUUUGGUCCCUAAUUUUAAGUUAAUUUUUGUAUUUUUUUAAUGAAAAUGUGUAGAAUAUUAUAAAAUAAAUUGCCAAAAAAAUAAUUUUUUUAAUAAAACACAAAUUAAAUAUGAAUUUUUAACUGUCAAAAAUAUAAAAAUCCAUAUUAAAUUCAUGUUUUGUCAAAAAAAAUCUAAUUUUUUUUGGGUGAGAUUCUUAUAAUAUUUUGAAUUUUUAUGCAAAAUUUUAUUCAAAAAUAUGAAUUAUAUAUAUGAGUUUACUUUAAAGGAUGAACCAAAAGUGAAGAUGAAAUUUUUUUGAGGGACUAAAAGUUGAAGAAAUUUUUUAAAGGGACUAAAACGAAAAGUUGACAUAUUUAUAAGGAUAAAAAACAUAUUUAACCCCAAAAAUUAUAAAUGUAACAUUUUUUUUAGUGUUACCGGUGAUACAAAAAGUGUUACAAUAAUGUAACAUUUUGCGACACUUUUUAAAUGUUACUGAUAAUACUAUAAAAAUGUAACUGAAGCUCUUUAGUAGCAUGUGCUUUGCCUAACAAUUGUAUAAAUGUGACUAAUUUUAAUUAGUAACAUUUUUCUUGAUUUAGUAACAUUUUUCAUGGGUUACUAGAUGUCAAUUAUGUUGCAGUGCAUGUUCCAUAUUCUGAGCUAACAAUGGAUGGACGGAGUAAGUUUUAAGGGACCAACAGAUAACGAUUUUUAAGCUGAGAGAUUCAAAUUAAAAUACCUCAAUAGACAUAAUUCAAAUCAUAACACAAGGGUUGUCAUAUAUAUCUACUUAUCCGUAACAAUUGGAAAAAUUAUCUACUCAUAAUGUUUGACUAAACAUAAAAAGAGAGUUAUAAGAAUUACUCCUAAAAUCUCUUCAAAGGAAGUCAAUUCGGAGAACGGCGAGUGCAUGGUAUAUAUUAGUGUCUCAAAUGCGAGUUAAAUGUGCAUUUAUAUCAUUUAUUUGUUUUAAGACUAUAGUAAUGGACACCUCCAUUUCUUUUGAGAAAUGGAGAGGAUCGUAACUCAUCAAAUGCACUAUAGUGCCCGGCCUUGGCGCGUUGCAACAUUCUUUCCUUCGUACGCCAAUUUUGAACACAAAUGUUGUGCUAUAAAUUCACAUGAGUGCAUGCUGCGUUGCACUUUGAUCUUUCUACUAUGCGAGUUCCUUUUAUUCAUAGAUUUUUUUAGGCUUCAAAAGUCAUCUAGUUCUUGUAUUGUAUCAAUCCUCUUUAACUUCUAUAGUGUAAGGCUAAGUCUUAAAAUCAAAAUGAAAAUCUGAAAAUCGAGAAUAGAACAAUGAAAACUACUUAAAAUUCACUCUAAAAAUAUUGACUGAUGAAGAAUUAUCAAUAUGUGAUAAGGUGAGUAUGGGAAAGAUAAUAGAACAAUGUAAGAGAAUUGAGAAACCUCUAACUUUACAUACAGAUGGGGAUUGUUGCCUUGACUUUUAUCCUAAAUUGUCAAAUUUUUAUGUAGUGUGUUGAAGAAACUUAUGACAUAAGGAUAACCAUGAAUGAAGAUUGGGAAGAAAGUAAAAAACUUUUUUUAAAGUUUUUUGUUUGGGAUCAUGCAAAUAAAAUGCUGCUUAAUAUGACGUGCCAAUAUAUGCUUUGGUGAUUGACACCCAUCAAAACUAGUCUUACAACAAUAUUGAAGGUGUAUUGUAUAAUCUUAAGAUGAGAGAAGAGUGAGAGAGAGGUGCCUUUGUAACUUUACAUUUGUGCAUUAAUUGUUUCCUUGACUUUAUUCCUGAAUUAGUAAGUUUUAUGUCGUACGUGUAUUGAAGAAGCUUGUGAGGAACCUUUGUAACUUCCCUUGACUUUUUAAAAAUGUUUUUGAUUGUUGAAGUUGUUUUGUUUUGGGAGAGAUAUAUGUUUAAUUGAUUGACACCUAUUGAAACCCUUCUUAAAAUAGUAAUGAAGGUGUACAAUAUUAAGAUGAGAAAAGAUUGUGAGAGAAACCUUUGUAACUUUAUAGUUAAGCAUUGUUGGCUUAUCUUUCUUUUCUUUCUUUCUCAAUUGACAAAUUUCCAUGUAGUGUGUUGAAGAAGCUUGCGAGGUAGCAUAAACUUGCAUGAAGGAAAAGAUUGUUGAGUGUAGGCAAUUGCAACAGAUAGAUAGAUAGAUAGAUCUAGAGGAAAAAAGUACAACACGUAUGCUGGAAGAAAAUCGUACAUAAGCCACAACAUGCAACCAUUUAACAUCGUCCAUCAUCCAAAUACAUUAUGUAUUUACGUUAUACAAACAUUAUGCUCUAUAAAUAGUCAUGGUAUUCUUGGACUUUGUACCUCAACACUACUUAUAAGCACUUGUUCACUACCCAUUUCCUAAAACAAACAAAGAAACUAUUUUAUGAUGGCUUAUCUUAGAUCCAUCUUCACCACCUUUAUUCUUCUUCUUUUUUCAUUACUAGUUAUUGCCAAUGCAGCUGAUUAUGGUCCAACACCAAACGUUGAGAAGCCUAAAUUUGAAGUAGAUAACAAACCAUAUUCUACAAAACCAAACUAUGAUGUUUCCAAACCUAAAAUAGGUUAUGAGUAUAAUCCAACUCUAGAGAUUGAGAAACCCAAAGCCGAUAUAGAUUAUAAAGUAAAUUUCACGGAACCAAACUAUAAAGUUCGCAAACCUAAAAUAAAUGAUAAAUAUGGUAUGGUUCCAAAAAUAGAGAAUUUUGAACUUGAAACAGAUUCCAAUCAACAUCUCGAAAAAUCGAACGAUGAAAAUCCCAAACCUGAAACAAAUAAUGGGUAUGGUCCAUUACCAAAGAUCGAGAAACCUAUAUCAGAAGCGGUCUACAAACUAAACCACACAAAAUCAAACAAUGAAGUUCCCAAACCCAAAACUCAUUUUGCUUAUACUCCAACCCCAAAGAACGGGAAACCCAAAUCCGAUGCAGUUUACACAUCAAACACCACAAACUCAUAUUAUGAAGUUCCAAAACCCAAAUUUUUUUAUGGAUAUGUUCCAACCCCAGAAAAAAUUGAGAAACCUAAGUCCGAAGUAGUUUACACACCAAAUACCACAAACCCAGACUAUGAUGUUCCCAAACCUAAAACAUAUUAUGGAUGUGGUCCAACCCUAAAGAUUGAGAAACCCAAGUCCGAAGCAGUUUACAAAUCAAAUCACACAAAAUCAGAAUAUAAAUUACCAAAACCUAAACAAAAUUAUGGCUAUAUUCCAGCGAUUGAGAAAUCCAAACUUGAACCAGAUUAUAAUUUAAACCCCACAAAACCAUAUUAUGAAGUUCUCAAAACAAAAGAAAGCUACAAAGUGCAACUUCCCACAUCCAUCGGUGUCCAAGGAAUAGUUUUCUGUAAAUCAGGCUCAAAUUAUUACCCAAUUCAAGGUAAAUUUUCAUUGAUCUAAUAAAAAAAAGUGAAAUGCAAAACAAAAACCUAUCUCGCUAAUUUUUUUUUGCUACAUUUUCUAUGUCUUGCAUGUAUGAAAUUAAAACCAAUUAAUUUAUAUUAGUUUGAACUUUAAAUUGAUGAUAUAUUAUUAGUUAUAUAUUUAGCAUGUGUGAGGGGUGCAGGGGCUGUGGCACGAGUUACAUGUAGAUGUGUGAAUGAGCUUGGAAAUGAGACAAACCCUAUAUCAGUAUUCAGUCAUGCAACAAAUGGUAAAGGUUAUUAUUUUGCUACAUUGUCACAUGCAAAGCUUGGAUCAAAAUUGAAGAUUAAUGAGUGCAAAGCAUACCUAGAGAGUUCUCCAUUAAAUAUUUGUAAAGUUCCCACCAAUGUGAACCAUGGGAUUAGUGGUGCUCCUCUUUCUUCUUAUCGUCUUCUUGAAAAUAAUUUUAGAUUGUACUCUUUGCCACCUUUCUUCUACACCUCUCAAGCUAAACCAAUCCUUAAUGUGCAUGACCAUUGGUUUGUCAAAUAGAGUGGAAUAAAAUUCUAUGUAUGGCUACAAAUAUAAAGAAGAAUGGAUUCUUGACUAUAUUUUUUAUUUGUUAAUUUGUGGACUUAAUUCGUAUGUAAUUGAUAAUUUGAUAUAUAAAUAAAAUCAAGGUUUGUCAUGAGUCAAAAACUUUAUUUAUUUCUUCAUAUUUCUGUAUAUACACUUGCCUAUUUUUGUUUUUUUUUUUUGGGUGAGCUGAGAACAUUCACUUUUAAUUAAUUGUUGAUUUAACCCUGAUUUAAACAUAAAAUUAUUCAAACAACAACGUUGAGGACUUUGAUCUUAGAAUUAUUAAAUUCAAAACUCUACACUUUAUUGGUACAUCUCAAUAUUUAUGACAUGUAUUAUUAUAGUAAUAUUUAUCGAUAUCAGUCACAUAUAUCGAUAAAUAUUAUGGUAAUACAUGUCAUUAAUAUAAUGUAACUGACUUGUGAAUAAUACAAGUGUAGGAUCUAGUUUUAUAAAGAAUGCAUAGUAAUGGCAGUUUUUUUAUUUAAAAAAGAAUCAUAUGAGAAACUUCCAAAUGCUUCAACAUCUCAACUUGCUACUAGUACAAAAACUGAUUUUUAACAUGUUUUUAAGGUCAUAAGUCUAUUUCUUAACCGGUGUAAGAUCUUCCGUUUUAAUAUAUGAAAUUUUUUAGGACGAUUUUUCAACUGGAUUAAAAUAAUAUGGUUCAAUCCGGUUGAGAAUUGAGAUAAACAUUCAUCUUAACAUUUUUAUCAUCAACGCAAUAUUGUGUUACAUUUUAAGUUGGUUGUGAGAAACAAAUAUAAACUUCGUGUUACAUUAUUUUAUGUCGCCUUUUGCCAAAAACCAGAGAGAAUUGAGAUAUAAUACCAAGGCUAAAGUAUACUUUUUAUUCUCUCUAUAAUUUACAAAAUGUUUGUUAUGAUCUUUUAUCGUCUUUUUUAUUCAUUUUAGUCCUUUAUCUUUCUUUUACCGAAUUGACUGGCAUCAAUUAAUAUCAUUGGUUUAAUUAAGACAAUAGGUUUGAGAUUUAGGGAGGUUUCUUUGGCACGACUCCCUUGGACUGACCAUGAAUUGCAAAGUAGUGAAUUUUUAUUGAAUGUUAUUGUAAAACUAAUUCACAUUGAUAGUGCAUACCUUUUUAACUCGUAUAAUUUCUGUCUUUAAAAAAAAGUUUAAUGAUAACCGAGUACUCUAAAUAUUAUGAAGGUUAUCUCACACGAAAUGCAAGAAAGCAAUACAUCUCAAUUUUGAAAAAGGGAUGUGUGAUUAGUUUUUUUUUUUGUUUUGUUUUGUUUUGUUUAGUAGCUUAGUGGUUGGAGCACAUAAUUAAAUGCAGAGAAGUGGGGUGUCCGAGGUUCGAACCCCGGUCCACUACAUAAAUUAUGCAAUGUCUCUACCAACUAAACUCACAGAGAUUGAUUAGUUUUGUUUUUGACGAAAAUCAUAGUGCGAUAUACAUUUAAAGUAUUCGCCUUGUAUCUUCUUAUAUUGUCGCGUUCUAAGUUAUCUUAAAAAAAAUUGGAGAAGAGAAAAUUAUUAUUAAUAGCAGUGCUAACCAUUUUACAAUAGUCCCAAAUAAGAUUUAAAAUAUAUCUCUUGAGAUUAUAUAGUCAAGUUUUGAUAAUAAAUUGACACUUCUUAUGAGUCUUCUCAAUUUGAAUCUUGAAACUUUAACUUCUUUAAUCUCUUUUCCCAAUCCGAGGGAGAUAUCAAUCUCAAGAAGGUUAAUGAUUUGUAUUCCAAUUUCAUCAAAUAUAAUUUUAAUUAUGAUUUUUUACCAUGUAAAAAUUUGCAAUCGCAUUUUUUUCACAAAAGAAUAAAAUGUGUAUCGGGCUUAAAAUGAGUUAAAUUUAAAUUAGGUGUUGUGAGAUGAAUAACUCGGAAUUAAUUAUUCUUAAUUUAUGGUGUCAAAUUACAAAAGUGAAUUCAAGUUGCUUAUAUUUCUAUUACGCUAAAUAGUCAUAGUAAUUUGGAGUUUUAUUUAAGGAAUUGUUUUGCUCAAUAAUCAAACUCAAAUUCUUCUAAACGAUUGUUUUUUUUGAUAGAGUCAUUAACCGCUUGUUUACUAUACGUUGAAUGGUUGAAAAUAUAUGUUAGCUAGCUGGCCAUGUAGUAGAGAUAUGAUCCAAUAUUCAUAGAAAAAAGAAGAUUUAAUCCAAUAAUUAUUUAGGACAUGCAAUUCAGGGUUUUAUCGUGCAUCCAUGUCAUAUCCUACAUCUUAUAAUUAUUAUUAUUAUUAUUGUAGGGACGUGUGCAUUGAUGAAAAAUUCAAAGUUAGUAAUUUAAUAAGUGACCAAAUAUGCUCUAAGUGUGUGUUUUUAGAUAGCAAUACAUGUUCUCCACUCACUAGGUAGGUGAAUGAUCUCUAGUCAUGUAUUUUCUUGCAAGGAAACAACACUCUACAAAUGAAAGACUCCCCUCCUUAUAUUUACCUAGAGCUUUAUUAUUCAUAAGCCACGACGUGCAACCAAUUAUCUUGGUCCAUCCAAUUAUUCAUAUACUCCAUAAUGCAGUAUGUAUUUAUGUUACACAAACACUAUGCUCUAUAAAUAGCCUUGAUAUUCAGGGUAUUCUACCUUACCACUGCUUUGAAGCAUUUACCACCCUUUUUCUGAAACAUUACAAAGAAACUAACUUAUGAUGGCUUCUCAUAGAUCCAUUUUCGCUAUCUCUAUCCUUCUUUUUGCGUUGCUAGCCAUAGCCUCCGCAACUGAUUAUGUGUAUGGUCCAGCACCAAACACUGAGAAGUCUGAACCCGAAAUCGAAGUAGAUAAGAAGUCAUACUCUACAAAAUCAGACUAUGAAGUUUCCAAAUCCAAAACAAAUUAUGAGUAUAGUCCAACUCCAAAGGUUGAGAAAUCCAAACUCGAUAUAGAUUACGAAGUACAUUUAAUAAAACCAAACUAUAAAGUUCCCAAACCCAAAGUAAAUUAUAGAUAUGAUCCCGUUCCAGAGAUAGAGAGACCUGAACCAGAAACAUAUUACAAACACCUCACCAAACCAAACUACGAAGUUCCCAAACCUGAAAUAGAUUAUGGGUAUAGUCCAACUCCAAAGGUUGAGAAGCCUAAGUCCGAAGAAGUUUACACAUCAAACCCCACAAAACCGGACUAUGAAGUUCCCAAAACCAAAAUAGAUUAUGGCUAUGCACCGGCUCCCAAGAUUGAGAAACCCAAGUCCGAAGCUGUUUACACACCAAACCCCACAAAACCGGACUAUGGAGUUCCCAAACCUAAAACAACCUAUGAAUAUGCCCCUGCCCCCAAGAUUGAGAAACCAAAGUCCGAAGCAAUUUACACACCAAACCCAACAAAACCAAACUAUGAAGUUCCCAAACCCAAAACAAAUUAUGAGUAUGCCCCAGCUCCCAAGAUUGAGAAACCAAAGUCUGAAGUAGUUCACACACCAAACCCCACAAAACCUGACUAUGAAGUUCCCAAAUCCAAAACUGAUUAUGGGUAUGCCCCGACCCCCAAAAUCGAGAAAUCCAAGUCUGAAGCAGUCUACACACCAAACCCCACAAAAUCAGACUAUGAAGUUCCCAAAACCAAAACAGAUUAUGAGUAUGCCCCAGCCCCCAAGAUUGAGAAACCAAAGUCUGAAGUAGUUUACACACGAAACCCCACAAAACCUGACUAUGAAGUUCCCAAAUCCAAAACUGAUUAUGGGUAUGCCCCGACCCCCAAAAUCGAGAAAUCCAAGUCUGAAGCAGUCUACACACCAAACCCCACAAAAUCAGACUAUGAAGUUCCCAAAACCAAAAUAGAUUAUGAGUAUGCCCCAGCCCCCAAGAUCGAGAAACCAAAGUCUGAAGCAGUUUACACACCAAAAUCCACAAAACCAGACUAUGAAGUUCCCAAAACAAAUUAUAACUAUGCCCCAGCACCAAAAAUUGAGAAACCCAGACUUGAUACAAAUUAUAAACUACUCCCCACAAAACCAGAUUAUGAAGUUCCAAAACCAAAAGAAAACUACGAAGUGCAACUGCCCACAAUCAUUAGUGUUCAA
rnacentral:lncRNA from 1 species